GGUCAGGUGGUGUAGUGGUAACACCCUUGCUAUAUAUGCAGAAGCCCUGGGUUCAAUUCCCAGUCUGGUCA